GGCUCGGUGGUGUAGUGGUAUCAUGCGUGCUUCGGGUGCACGAGGUCUCGGGUUCAAAUCCCGGCCGAGCCC
rfam:Allomyces macrogynus ATCC 38327 genomic scaffold supercont3.71, whole genome shotgun sequence.